UCCAGGCCCUUCGAUCCUUUAAUGUGGAUGCUGCCAGAUCCUGGGUGAUCCUUAUUGUGGCUCCUUGAUACUUGAAUUGGGUUUUUCUAGCCGCUUGCAGUAUUUUUUCCUUUGCCUGAGGGUUCUGGCAUUUGGCCACUAUAUUCCUUGGUGUUUUGAUUUUAGGAUCCCUUUCAGUAGGGGAUCGAUGAAUUCUUUCAAUGUCUAUUUUACCUUCUGUUUCUAUGACUUCUGGGCAGUUCUCUUUGAUAAUUUCCUGGAAGAUAGUGUCCAGGCUCUUUUUUUCAUCAUACUUUUCUGGAAGUCUGAUGAUUCUCAGGUUGUCUCUCCUGGAUCUGUUUUCCAGGUCUGUUGUCUUCCCCAGAAGGUAUUUCACAUCCUUUUCCAUUGUUUGAUUUUUUUGGAUUUGCUUGACUGAUUCUUCUUGUCUCCUCGAGUCAUUCAAUUCCAAUUGUUCGACCCUGAUUUUCAGUGAGGUAUUUUCUUCACUCACUUUUUUAAGAUCUUUUUCUAAUUGUCCAAUUGAGUUCUUUUGUUCUGUGGAAUUUUUUUUCCAUUUCGCCAAUUUUGUUUUCCAGUUCACCAAUCCUAUUUUUCAAGGAUUUGGUUUCUUUAUCCACUCUCUCUUUAACUGACUUCUCCAGGCUCUUUUGCCAAGCCUCCCUCUCCUUUUGCAGAGCCUCCCUCUCCUUUUGCCAAGCCUCCCUCUCCUUUUGCAGAGCCUCCCUCUCCUUUUGCCAAGUCUCCCUCUCCUUUUGCAAAGCCUCCUUCUCCUUUUGCCAAGCCUCCCUCUCCUUUUGCAGAGCCUCCCUCUCCUUUUCCCAUUUUUCUUCUAGCUCCCUUGUGAGAGCCUUUUUAAUUUCCUCCAUGAGAUUCAUCUGUGCUGAGGGACAUAUGGUCUCCUCCUUUGGGGAUUCACCUGGGGACUGUUUAUUUUUAGUCUCCUCAGGAUUUGGAGUCUGCUCUUUAUCUGUAUAAAAGCUGUCCAGGGUUAGAUUCUUUUUCAGUUUCUUGCUCAUUCUGUCUAUUUAUCAAAGACAAACUAUCAAAGAAACAGAAGGAAAAAAACCCCUUGAUUGGAGGCUGCUUUCUUUGGGGGAGGGGCAGGGUAUUCGUGAGGCACGGGUCCUACUGUGCUAUGGCGCCUGCGCGCUGAGAUCCGAGCGCUCUGAGAUCCGAGCGGGCUGAGACACUGUGGGGGAGGGGUGGCCAGGUCCCGAGAGACUCCAGCUGUUUGGGGUUGUAUUCUUCACCCCCGGUGUUUUUAGCUUCUCUGCUGGGCUGCUGACUUGCUCCUGUAGCAAAGCUCUCCCCGCAGAGACGGCUGCGAUCGCUCCCCACCCCCUCUCCGCUCUACCCGGUUCUGAGCUGCUUUCUGUGCUCUGGUUGCAGCUGCUGCCCGCAGACUGCUUCCAAAUACCGUCCCCGCCCUCGCGCAAAAACAGACCUUUCUUGACGAGUCUCAAGGAUGGUUUCUCUUGGUAAUCGUGCUGUCCACGAGACUCCUGAACUCACUUAACAGUGCCGAGCUGUUAUUUGCAACGGAUCGACUUCAUCCAGACGUUGGCAUCUGAGCCAGAGCCACCUACUAUAAGAGAACAGAAGACUUAGCCGGUCUGGAAAGACCUGCUCUAUUGUCUGACAACUGUUGAGAUAUAUUUCCCAAACUGAGCCUACCCUGUUACUAACUGUAACUGUGGGAAUAACUGAAUUUUGGCUGAAGGCCUUCGAUAAUGGAGAGGGGGGAGGGGGAGGAAUGUUCUGUUGCUAAGACUGUUGCAAUGUUAUGUUGCCAAGAUUAUUGAAAUGUUAUAUUAUUGAGAUUGUUACUGGUUUUAAAAUUUUUUCUUUUUCUGUUUCUGAAGUUGAGAUGUUAUAUUGAAAUUGUUACUGAUUUUUAAAAAAAGUCUUUUUCUGUUUCUAAAGCUAAAGAUGUUAUAUUGUUGAGAUUGUUACUGGUUUAAAAUAAAAAUCCUUUUUCUGUUUCUAAA